UGUAUCGGAAGCCUGACGAGGAUGAGAACCUCCGGGGGCAAGAGGUUCGACUCGAGCGCAGCGAGAGAACGUUGCGUCAGCAACGGCCCGCAGGGCGAGCCACGCAGUGGCGAGUCAUCCUCUAUCACCGACCA
rnacentral:sRNA from 24 species